GAUGAACGCUAGCGAUAGGCUUAACACAUGCAAGUCGAGGGGCAGCAUGGUCUUAGCUUGCUAAGACUGAUGGCGACCGGCGCACGGGUGCGUAACGCGUAUGCAACUUGCCUCACAGAGGGGGAUAACCCGUCGAAAGACGGACUAAUACCGCGUACACUCCAUCUUGGGCAUCCAAGGUAGAGGAAAUGAAAUUCGCUGUGAGAUAGGCAUGCGUCCCAUUGGCUAGUUGGUGAGGUAACGGCUCACCAAGGCGACGAUGGGUAGGGGAACUGAGAGGUUGAACCCCCACACUGGUACUGAGACACGGACCAGACUCCUACGGGAGGCAGCAGUGAGGAAUAUUGGUCAAUGGGCGAGAGCCUGAACCAGCCAAGUCGCGUGAAGGAUGACUGUCUUAUGGAUUGUAAACUUCUUUUAUACGGGAAUAACAAGAGUCACGUGUGACUCCCUGCAUGUACCGUAUGAAUAAGCAUCGGCUAACUCCGUG
rnacentral:rRNA from 1 species